rnacentral:rRNA from 1 species
GAUGAACGCUGGCGGCGUGCCUAAUACAUGCAGGUCGAGCGAACAGACGAGGAGCUUGCUCCUUUGACGUUAGCGGCGGACGGGUGAGUAACACGUAGGUAACCUACCUAUAAGACUGGGAUAACUUCGGGAAACCGGAGCUAAUACCGGAUAAUAUUUCGAACCGCAUGGUUCGAUAGUGAAAGAUGGCUUUGCUAUCACUUAUAGAUGGACCUGCGCCGUAUUAGCUAGUUGGUAAGGUAACGGCUUACCAAGGCAACGAUACGUAGCCGACCUGAGAGGGUGAUCGGCCACACUGGAACUGAGACACGGUCCAGACUCCUACGGGAGGCAGCAGUAGGGAAUCUUCCGCAACGGGCGAAAGCCUGACGGAGCAACGCCGCGUGAGUGAUGAAGGUCUUCGGAUCGUAAAACUCUGUUAUUAGGGAAGAACAAACGUGUAAGUAACUGUGCACGUCUUGACGGUACCUAAUCAGAAAGCCACGGCUAACUACGUG